AUUUGUAUGUGAGCAGUACGCGAGAGAGUGGCACGUGUGUGUGGCCAGAAAUACGCGGCGAGACGUAUUCGCUUCGGCAGUCGAUCGCGGCGCGAGCAGCGGAACUUGCUCAGGUGUGCGUCCCCGUGUUCCCAGCGUGCAGCAGAGCGCGUGGAAGUUGCACGGUGCAUCGCAAACCGUGGCCCCCGCAGUGUCUCGUAGACGACACGUGCGAACGACGUCGAUCGCGCACGCAACCAGAUAUCAAACAAGUACCGAAACACGCGCCGUGGUGUCCCCCUGUGUGCUCGUCGCUUUUUCGUCGAUCGUCUACCCCUCGAUCGGGUGAACCGUUUUCAUUUAACCCGAGUAAUAUAUUCUAGUGCCUUCUCAAGAUCAAGAGGAACGGGAGCUACAACAAAGGCAACAACAACGACGACGCCGACAGAAACGCUGCGCGAAAAUGUCCAGAAGAUGGCCCUUGGGGUUGCUCCUACUGGUGAUAUGUCUGGUAGUAGGGGUGUUGACAGGAACCACGAUCGCUUAUAGUCGCCGGUCCAUCGACGAUUCCAGCACGGAUCUAUCGAAAUAUCUGGAACUGGCACAACAGAUCAACGAAAUGGAGUCGAUGGACGAAUUCAUGAAACACGUCGAAGGUGCGCCCAAAAAGAAUGUUGCGACGGGUUCAAUUCUUUUCGCAGGUAGAAUAGGCGACUUCCAGGGUCAAGAACGUUCGAACGCAAUACCAGCGACACCGGCCAAGUGUAUACCCGAGUUGCAACCUGUUUCCCUGACAGAAAACAAAGAGAGGUCCAUCCUUUACUUUCCCUCUUGCACGAGGGUCAAGAGGUGCGGGGGGUGCUGCAGUCAUGCGUUGCUUUCGUGUCAACCGGUUGCAACGGAACUUCGAAACUACGAGGUGACGGUCGUUACCAUUGGUAACAGCAAUCAGAUGACAUACAAGGAGAAUCGCAUCGUGCCGUUGGAAGAGCACACGAAAUGCAAGUGCGACUGUAGAAUCAAGGCGGAGCAUUGCAAGGAAAACCAAUCGUAUGUGAAGUCAGAAUGCGGAUGCAAGUGCAAUAACGUCGACGAGGAGUAUAAGUGUCUGCGAAACAAAGAUAUCAAAGUUUGGGAUCCAGAUCGCUGUAUCUGUCUCUGCAGGGACGAGGAAGAAUGUUCUACAGGGCUCUACUUUGAUCAGAACUCGUGCAGGUGUGAGCUGAAAACAUAGGAACGCAACUAAGGGAAUUGGGCAACUGUCUUGUACUGCACUCUCUCGCAUAUCUUGUGUAAGCCACUGCCAUUAUCCAGAACAUGGUUUCAACCGACAAAGGGUACAGAUUACAGAUUCAGUAGGACACAGAAACCAGACACAGUACCGCCAGUUAUAGUGCCAUUAGAUGCUGCGGAUCCUAGAAGAAAACCCAAAGAUGAUCCAGAAUAUUAAAAGGAUUCAGAAGUUGUACACUACAUCACAAGACACGCUUACAGCUCAACCUUCCACGACCGUGCCAUUUUAUAUUACAACAUUAAAUAUUUAAUUAUAGUAUUCGUGAGAUAGUAUUAAUUCGAUAUUGCAGGAUAUGAGUCAUUAUAUUUUUACAUAUCAAAAGACUUUUUCUAUGAUAUAAAAAAAUACAAUUAUUUAAAAUA